UACGAAGGGGGCUAGCGUUGCUCGGAAUCACUGGGCGUAAAGGGUGCGUAGGCGGGUCUUUAAGUCAGGGGUGAAAUCCUGGAGCUCAACUCCAGAACUGCCUUUGAUACUGAGGAUCUUGAGUUCGGGAGAGGUGAGUGGAACUGCGAGUGUAGAGGUGAAAAUUCGUAGAUAUUCGCAAGAACACCAGUGGCGAAGGCGGCUCACUGGCCCGAUACUGACGCUGAGGCACGGAAAAGCGUGGGGGAGCCAAACAGGG
rnacentral:rRNA from 1 species